rnacentral:rRNA from 1 species
AUUGAACGCUGGCGGCAGGCCUAACACAUGCAAGUCGAGCGGAUGAAGGGAGCUUGCUCCUGGAUUCAGCGGCGGACGGGUGAGUAAUGCCUAGGAAUCUGCCUGGUAGUGGGGGAUAACGUCCGGAAACGGGCGCUAAUACCGCAUACGUCCUGAGGGAGAAAGUGGGGGAUCUUCGGACCUCACGCUAUCAGAUGAGCCUAGGUCGGAUUAGCUAGUUGGUGGGGUAAAGGCCUGCCAAGGCGACGAUCCGUAACUGGUCUGAGAGGAUGAUCAGUCACACUGGAGCUGAGACACGGUCCAGACUCCUACGGGAGGCAGCAGUGGGGAAUAUUGGACAAUGGGCGAAAGCCUGAUCCAGCCAUGCCGCGUGUGUGAAGAAGGUCUUCGGAUUGUAAAGCACUUUUAGGUGGGAGGAAGGGCAGUAAGUUAAUACCUUGCUGUUUGGACGUGACCAACAGAAUAAGCACCGGCGAACUUCGU